GAAGGAGGACUGAAAGGAACUCUGGAGGUAUCAGAAGUGAGAAUGCAGGAAUAAGUAGCGAGAAGGGGAGUGAGAAUCUCCCCCGCUGGAAGACCAAGGUUUUCAGGGUCAAGCUUGUCUUCCCUGAGUAAGCCGGGACCUAAGCCCAGGCUAGAAUGCGUAGGCGAAUGGAAAACAGAUGAAUAUUUCUGUGCCAGUUCUACUUUGUGAAGGAGGGACGCAGAAGGGUCUGCGCGC
rnacentral:rRNA from 1 species